rnacentral:lncRNA from 1 species
GGUAGGAAUCCGCUGGGGUCCCAUUUCAGGUGUUAACAUGGCUAGUUGAAAGAGUACUGUGUGGGUGGUGCCUGCUAGUAAAAAUGGCGGUCCGCCAUGGCCAGCUAUCAUGACAUCAGAGCUUGUGACUCCUCCAAAUCCCCUUCUGUUUGGCAGGCCUGGGGAAAGGCAGGGUUAACUAGGACAUGUGAGGUAACUCAAUCCCUGGGGAUUUAGGAAGGCAUGCCCAUGCAAGAAGACACAUUUGCGUUUUUCUGCCCUCAAGAUGGGGGCUAUUGUGUUCAGCUACUUAAAAGUAGCCACAUCACCGCGGUGACCAUCAGUGCCAUAGCUAAUCAGGAGGGGAAGCAAACGCUGGUCACAUGCUAUGGCAGCCUCCAACAAUGGAGCAAGAGCCUGUCUCAAAAUGAAAAAGGAACAAGACCAUGGAUGUAGCUCAGUGGUAAAGUGCCCCUGGGUUCCAGCCCAGUAACAAAGAAAUAAGAAUAAAAAAUAAAAAAACGUAGAUCAGUGUGGCAUUUUCCCUUCUAAGAAAACAUAAUUAGUCCCUUCCAACGUUACACAGCCCAGAAGAAAUCAUACUGCACUGGUUUGAAAAAUGCAGACUCAGCAUAUCAC